rnacentral:rRNA from 1 species
GUCGGAUAUCUGACCGCCGACAUCCAGCACAGGCUUCCUGCUCUAGGGCAAGUCAUCCCUACGCCGGAGCCCAAUGAGAGCGUCGUGUUCGUUCCUCACUUCCUCCACGGCUUGGGCCUCACCCUUGAUCCCUUUGUGAGGGGGCUUAUGUUCUAUUACGAGUUGGAUUUUCAUGAUCUAGCUCCGGACGCUAUCCUCCAUAUCUCAUUGUUCAUCAUUGUGUGCGAGGCUUUUCUCCACGUCACUCCACACUUCGGCUUAUGGCUCAAGACCUUCAAUGUGAAGCUGAAGAUGAUCGAGGGGUGA